rnacentral:snoRNA from 14 species
UGUAUGAUGAUACACACCGCCCCAGUCUGCAACAUCAUUGCUGACAUACGGAUAAAACACGCCAGUUUUGCUACUGA